rnacentral:snRNA from 1 species
CAGAAAUUUGCUCUUUUACAAUUUGUCCAGAAGGUUUCUUUUAAAAGGAAGCCCAC